UAAUUUACGCUUUUUAUAUUAUAAUCAUAUUACCAUUUUUUCCUUACAGAACAGUACAGUGAACAUAAUUUUGUUACAACCUUUGUGAUAAUUUGUUUGUUUUUAUCUCAUAAUUAGGACUGUUAAAAAUCUGUUAUGACUCUGUAUCUCAUAACUUUUAUUCAUUUUUUUAUAUCUUAAUAAUUUUGGCUUUUCAUAUUAUAAUCAUAUUACCAUUUUGUCCUUACAGAACAGUACAGUAAACACUUCCCUGAUACCUAGUUUCUGCCUGAGGAAAGUCAUGUACUGAUGAGGAGGAUGUGAAGCUCAGGACUGGUCAUCACAUCAACAUCAAUCUACAGACACACAUGCCAUUUUAAUAAAGAUUUAUUAAAGAAAGCC